GACGAACGCUGGCGGCGUGCCUAAUACAUGCAAGUCGAGCGGACGGAUGGGAGCUUGCUCCCAGACCGUCAGCGGCGGACGGGUGAGUAACACGUGGGCAACCUGCCUGUAAGACUGGGAUAACUCCGGGAAACCGGGGCUAAUACCGGAUAACUCUUUCCCUCACAUGAGGGAAAGCUGAAAGAUGGCAUCUCGCUAUCACUUACAGAUGGGCCCGCGGCGCAUUAGCUAGGUGGUGAGGUAACGGCUCCCCAAGGCGACGAUGCGGAGCCGACCUGAGAGGGUGAUCGGCCACACUGGGACUGAGACACGGCCCAGACUCCUACGGGAGGCAGCAGUAGGGAAUCUUCCGCAAUGGACGAAAGUCUGACGGAGCAACGCCGCGUGAGUGAUGAAGGUUUUCGGAUCGUAAAACUCUGUUGUCAGGGAAGAACAAGUACCGGAGUAACUGCCGGUACCUUGACGGUACCUGACCAGAAAGCCACGGCUAACUACGUG
rnacentral:rRNA from 1 species